UACGUAGGGGGCAAGCGUUGUCCGGAAUCAUUGGGCGUAAAGCGCGUGUAGGCGGCUAGGUAAGUCUGCUCUGAAAGCCCGGGGCUCAACCCCGGGAGGCGGGUGGAUACUGUCUAGCUCGAGUCCGGAAGAGGAGUGUGGAAUUCCUGGUGUAGCGGUGAAAUGCGCAGAUAUCAGGAGGAACACCGGUGGCGAAGGCGGCUAUCUGGACAGAGUCUGACGCUGAGGCGCGAAAGCUAGGGGAGCAAACAGG
rnacentral:rRNA from 1 species